GAAAUGAAAGCCCGGAAACCCCGGAACUAGAACUGGUGUAAGAUUUCUCUUGGUUUUUGUGUUGUUGUUGUUGUUUUGUUGUUGUUUUGAGACAGAGUCUCGCUCUGUCGCCCAAGCUGGAGUGCAGUGGCGCGAUCUCGGUUCACUGCAACCUCCGCCUCCCGGGUUCAAGUGAUUCUACUGCCCAGCCUCCCUAGUAGCUGGGAUUACAGGCGCGCGACACCACGCCUGACUAAUUUUUGUUUUUUUGUUUUUGUUUUUUUUUUAGAUGGAGUCUCACUCUGUCGCCCAGGCUGGAGUGUAGUAGCGCAAUCUUGGCUCACUGCAACCUCGGACUCCCAGGUUCAAGAGAUUCUCCUGCAUCAGCCUCCCAAGUAGCUGGGACUACAGGCACGUGCCACCACGCCCGGCUAAUUUUUGUAUUUUUAAUAGAGACGGGGUUUCUCCGUGUUAUCCAGAAUGGUCUCGAUCUCCUGACCUCGUGAUCCACCUGCCUCGGCCUCCUAAAGUGCUGGGAUUACAGGCGUGAGUCACCGCGCCCGGCACGCCCGGCUAAUUUUUUUGUAUUUUUAGUAGAGAUGGGGUUUCACCGUGUUCCCCAGGCUGGUCUCGAGCUCCUGAGUCGAGACGGGAUUUCUCCGUGUUUGCCAGAAUGGUCUUGAUCUCCUGACCUUGUGAUCCACCCGCCUCGGCCUCCCAAAGUGUUAGGAUUACUGGCGUGAGCCACUGCGCCCGGCAGAUUUUUCUUUUAAAACGUGGAGAAUAAGAAAUCAGCCCGAGUGUGUAAUGGCGUCAAUAUUGGUGUGGACAAGACAAAGUGAAUGAGAUCUCUUCAACUACCUGUGAAAACUGAUGUGAUGAAAAGGGGAAUUUGAAGGAGCCAUUCCAGAAGACAGGGCGAAAACUGAAGUGCAAUCAGGGCCAAGAAAAACAGAAAUAGCAGGACCUGGAGUUGCAUAGGUUGAAUAGUUGAAUAGGCUGCUCUCCUCAGCUGGCAGGAAACCUGGCAGCCUCCUGGUGCCCAAGGACUGAAAACCUUAGAAGCACCUGGAGUUGGCAGCCUUGGCAUGGUCAGGUUGGCACCUCUGGAGGUGCCCAGGCUUCCCUGGCAGCAUUGUGAGCAGUGGAUGGUGUUGAAGGGCAGCCAGAGGAGGAAUGGAACACAUGCUCCUUGCUAACCACACGGACAAGGCCACGUUCACAGGUACACAAAGGCAACGCAGUUGCUCAGGUGCUUCGGUAUCACAGCCAAGACCCCUUCGGGGGAAGCUAGUCGGAUACUGGGACCCACAUUCCAGACUACUGAGCCGCGGUCGCGCCCUCGGCUCCGUUUCUGCUCCCUCCACCCCACGAGGACGGGGGUGGAAGGCCACCUUCGAUGGGUGCAUCCUCCACGAUGACCUGCUAACAAAGGUGCAUGGAUUUCAGAGUCUGAUUGGCCUACAACAGCAUUUGGCUUGUGGAGACAGUGGUUCCCUGAUGAAAAACUGCCAUGAUCAGCCAUCUGCACCCAAACCAGAUGCCAAAAUAACCAGGGAAGCCCAAGAGUGACGGGGCCCAAGACCUUCCGCUACACCUCCCGUCGGACAACUAGCCAUAUCUUCUGAGAAGCCUCAGAUAACCCUUGACAUGACAGGAAAAGGACAACAACCUGUGUGGGUUCCCUCCCGACAACUGAAAUUGCACCAUAACUCCCAAGAAGAAACACUCCCAGAAACAAAAGGCAAAGACCCCUCUGAAACCAAAGAGCAAGUAUCACCGCCUGACACAUAAACUUCAUGACCUCGACAUUGAGACAAAAUCUCGCCGUGUGACCUACAACACCACUCAUUUAACUCCACCAACUUGGGGUCAAAUAAAGGUCUUAUCCCAUCAACAGAAAAAUCAUUAAGAGAAAAAUGAAUCCCCAAAACGACAGGUAAUAUAAUUCUGGCU
rnacentral:lncRNA from 10 species